UGGGCCACUGUCGUCCUCCUUGGAGGGUACCCGACUAGCGUCAACUUCGAGGAUUUUGUGUUCGCCACGACAUUGUUCUUCUUAGAAGCUGCAAGGUAUGCAUUAGUUAUGUUUUUUAGAUAAUGGAUUAAGAAACCCAGCCUCUACAUACAUGAGAGGAUGUACACAGCCAAAAGUAAUCAAGAGUACAAAGUCUCGGACGCCUUACAAGAUAGUUUCAACCAACACCUGAAAAACUGAGUACAUAGACUCCAACCCCAAACAUAUGAGAGGUUCCUACACCACUUAAUACGACACCUUCAAGAGGCAGCAAAAAGCGAAAUUAAGCCUCCAAUCUUCUUCUCCCAUUCCACCUAAAUUUUGAGAAGAGCUCCAACAAUCCCGCCCCCAAAAGCCUGCAACCUUCUUUCACCUUUAGAGCGUCUUCCUCCUUAAUCAACACCGACCAUUGAUGUGCCCAAUAUGUAUCCCAAGAGAGAUGUACACGGAAUUCCACAUGAAUCUUGCAAGUUGGCAAUCAAAGAAAAGAUGUUGUAUUGUUUCAUUUGCAUUACAAAAGCAACACUUGGUAUUCCCCUUCCAUCUCCUCUUAGCCAAGUUGUCUAUAGUAAGAAUGAUCUCUCUCUUUAAAUACCAAAGAAAGAUUUUUAUUUUUAAAGGAACUCUAAGUUUCCAAAUAAAAGUUUUCCUUGGUAUUACCCCGUCACAUAUGAGAGCUUUAUACAUUCAGUUGACUGUAAAGACCCCCUUCUUAUGAGCCUUCCAAAUAAAGACAUCAUUUUGAUCUGAAAGCUUUUUUUGCCAGGUCGGCCGACCAAUUUCAUUAAGAUUUGGGGAGAAAAAACAGUAAAUUGUUACAACGACAUUACGAUGUCGUAGCAGGCCAGGGAAGAUCCCCAGCCCAGCCAAGAACGAAAAAAGAACGAGAAGAAGAUAGGCAGGGCAAAACCCCGUGCUCUAGCCAUGGUGAUUACUCGCGAAAUUGGGAGAAAAUCCCAGCCAUGGUGAUCUGAAAGCUCAAAGGAAACCACUUCUGUUACUAGAGAAAACCAAGAAUCAAGAUUAUCCCCAACCAAUGCCCUUCUAAAAGAGGCAUUCAACGGUUCCCUUCCUAAGACUUCAGCCAUAGUAACAUUUUUCUUCCUCGUUAACUGAUAUAGCGAAGGAUAAAGCCUAUCAAAAGAAGAGUUACCUGCCCAACAGUCCUCCCAAAAUCUCAAUUGAGUCCCAUUAUGCACCUUAAAGUUUAGAGUUUAGUCAUGAAAGUGUUUAGAGUUUGGCUGUGUAUAUCUUCCUGUGGAUAUAGAGGCCAGAUUUCUAUGUAUUAUCUAAAAAAUAUGAAAGUGUUAAGAGUUAGCCACAAAUCAGUACUGAUGUAAACCAUUUCCAUUAUAAAAAAAAUUAUCUAGGAGUACUAUAUUACCAAUUUUGCCAAAUUAAUUGGGCACAAGAAAAGGUGGUUGUCUUUCAUUUAGUUGACAGAUAGUCCAUUUUUGGGUCGGUCUCCAUAUGAUGCGCCAUCCAUAUUUUCAGGAUGUUCAGCCCAAACAGAUCAGAGUACCAACUCUUCUUCAGGACUUGGGGAGCUUUCAGGCCUUUCUCAUGGAACAGAGCAAUUGUGGUCAUAUGUCUAGAUGAUGUCAGCGAAUACCUCAGGAGCAACCAGAGGAGAGAAUUCCAUAGCCUAGUUGUGUCAAUGCUGAUGCUUGUUGCUGCCACCAUGCCUAUUCCAGGAGUUCACAAACUUAAAAGUGGUCCAUUACACAAUGCUAUAUUGCUGUGGAGCCCCUUGGUUGUGAUGCUUCUGUUGGUUCCCUCUAUAGUAUGCAAACAGACAGCAGUAGCACACAAAGGGAAUUGUCUAAUAGCUAGGACAUUUUACAUGAUAUCACUGGUCACUGUGCUGCUACUGAUCAUCAGCAAAUUACAGUUUCCAAGCAUCACCAGAAUAGUUCAUAGGCCUGUCAUCCAUAAACUACAAUCCUGCCACCAAGUGAUUCUUGUCUUCUGCAUGUGCCUUGCGGCCGUGCCCUUGGUGUUCUUUUCUCCAAACUUAAUACUGAUGAUAGUACUCACUCUGUUGACAACUGUAUGUGGCAGCUUACAGAUUCCAGCAGCGGUCAUACGUGUUGAGAUUGCAUUGAUGCGCCUUUUGCCACAAGAUUACUGUAGCGAAGGUGAUCCUGCAAAUGAUUCUGGCAAGAUAAACCUCAAGCCAACGCUUAAUGUCUUCUAUGGAAUGGUGCUCGGUCAAGGGAUACUAUACCUUGCAGCCCGCAUAUUGGAGUUCUUCUCAUUCUUUCCUCGGAGAUCAUUGGCUCGUCGUGGUGGGUUCAGGGGUCAGAAAGGAGUCCAAUCUGUUGAUAUGUACUAUGAAUAUGCCUUUGAGAAAUGCAUGAACACCAGUAUUCUUGCUCCAAAGAAGAUGAACCUCACUACUUUUGCCAUGGAUUCCCUCAAAUCAGGUUCAAGGAAGGAGCAGUUCUGUGGGGUUCGAAUUCUGUAUAGCCUUGUGUGCAGAGAGCCCUAUGACAAACCAGUCCUAUCAAAAGUCACCAACUCCAGGAAGACAGUCACCACAUUGAUUCAAAUGCUGGGUUGGGAGAACCCGGAAGACAAUCAAAUUAGAUUACUUGCUGCAAAGAUUACAGCUGAGCUUGCCAAUGGUCUCCGGAUUGUCGCGAUCUCUGGUGCAAUGAACUUUAUAUCAUCGCUUCUGGACAACCACAACAAACAGCAGAUACAUGAACUCACAAUUCAGACAGAUAGUGGUGAUGAGGAGAAUUGCUGGGUGCUCAAACGUUGGCGUCAGAUGAUUAAACAGUGGUCCAUUCUGGAGGAGGAGCAGUGGGCAGAAAGUGAUAUCCUCCCAGCACUUGGCCUGGUAAUUCUUGAGAGGCUAGCUACAUAUGAUCUUGUCAACUGCGUGGAGAUCAGCAGAUCAAUGGACAUAAUCCCAAAAAUCACAGGGUUCACCAGCAACAACGGUGAGAAAAUGUGUGUCAAUGAGACAGGCCAGAAAGUACUGAUUGAAUUUUCACUGAGGGUGCUGAGAAUAUUGGCAAGCAUUGGUGGGGAAACUGGUAUAACAUUGAGGCACAAGAUAUCAGAAGAUCCCUUCCUACUGGACAACCUUGCUGAGAUUUUGGAGGAUAGCAGGAGCAAUCAGGAUCAGGAGCUGAGGGAGAUGACAAUAGAUAUCCUUACAAAACUUGCCAUGGAUGAGAGUACAAGGAAGGAGAUUGGGAGCAUCCAGGUGAUUGUUCAGAAGUUGAUGUUUGCAUUCGUUGCGCAAGAUGGUCUGCCAGACUCACAUUCUGGCUGCUUGAUGACAAUAAUUAGGAUUAUUUAUUAAUCUAUAGGCUGUUUAUCUCCUAAACUUUUACACUCCUAGAUAGUUACUCUCCUAGACCUUUGGUCUUAUGUAACUCCCUAGUAUUGAUUGUAACUCAGCACUAGCAUUGAUUGUAAUUCUGCUAUAUAUAUAUGAGAGUUCACCUCCCCACAUUGGUGAGGCAUCUAUUCCACUUUCUCUACAUGGUAUCAGAGCCUAGGCUCUUACCUUCUUUUCCGCUGCUCUAGCACGCUGCCAUCGCAGCUGCAUCCCAGCCAUGUCGACUGAAUCAACUCAGUCCUCCACCUCCUCGGCCUCGAGUCCUCCACCUCCUCGGCCUCGAGUGGUUCUUCUUCUUCCAGCACCACCAGCGAAUUCCUCUACCCCUACGCCACGGUCGCCGUCAAAUCCCACGUCCCCAUCACCCUAGAAAACACCCACCCGAACUACAACAAAUGGAGGGCCUUCUUCACAUCUUUGUGCGGCAAGUUCGGGUUGAUGGCUCACAUCGACGGUUCCGCUCCUCCACGCCCCAAUGACCCGGCCUGGGAACAGGCCGACUGCUGCAUCCGCAGCUGGAUCUUUGGGUCAGUCGCCGACAACGUCCUUGACCUCGCCAUGGAGCCCAAUCAGACCGCGCGGGAGCUCUGGGUCGCCAUCGAGGACAUGUUCCACGCCAACAAAGAGCCUCGAGCGAUCUUCCUCAGCCACCAGUUUCACUCCAUGAUUCAAGGCGACUCCUCCAUCGACGAUUACUGCCAGAAGAUGAAGACUGCUGCCGACGCUCUUCGCGACGUCGGCCACGCCGUCACCGAAUCCCAACUCGUGCUUAAUCUCCUCCGAGGCCUGAACGAGCGCUUCUCCAACACCGGAGAUAACAUCGCCGGCGCAGCCGUCCUCCCAAGCUUCACCUCAGAGCGCAACACCCUCCUGCUGAAGGAGUUGCGCAUCGCCAACGAAGCCAAGGUGGCGGCGGCCACGGCGCUGGUGGCCGGCGGCGGCUUCGGCUCCGGUUCCUGCCCUCCCGGCGGCUGCAUCUCCUCUGGCGGUGGGGGUGGCGGCAGUGGGAGUGGUGGCGGCGCACGCCAGACCUUCCCGGGCGGUGGGACUGGUGGCGGCGGCUUCCCUGCUGGCCAGGCCCGCACCGGCGGCAACACGAACCGCCGCAACCGCAAGGGAAACGGUGGACGCGGCGGCGGAAAUGGAGGAGGGAACGGCGGCGGCAGUGGGGGUGGUGGUGGCGCUCGCCAGGCCUUCUCUGGCGGCGGUGGCGGCGGCGUUUCCUCUGGUGGCAGCGGCUUCUCUGCUGGAGGGAGUUCGACCGGCUGGGUGGCCAACUCUAGCUGGAGGCCGGCCGGGCCUUGGGUUUGUUUUAACCCCUGGCCGGCCCAGCAACAGGCCUGGCACCCCUCUUCGGCCGGCCUUCUUGGGCAGGCUCCGAUGGCCCACUACUCCCAGGCCAAUACCACAUAUGCUAGGCCAUUUGUGUCGCCCACAUCUGCUCCUACAGGCCAGCCCAAUUGGGAGCAAGCUGGCCUCAUUGUAGCACUGAACCAGAUGGCCUUCCAAAGCCCAAACAACUGGGUUUUGGACACCGGCGCGACAUCUCAUAAGUCCUCCACUGAUGGUAUCCUCGUUACACGCUUGCCUAACUCUUACACUUUUAUUACUAUUGGAAAUGGUCAAACUAUUCCCGUUACUUGUCAUGGGACCUCUUUUCUACCCAUAGGAACCACCAAAUUUGCACUCAAAAACAUCCUUGUCGCCCCUUCCUUAGUUCGUAAUUUACUUUCAGUUCGUCAAUUUACCCGCGACAAUAAAUGUUCCAUUGAGUUUGAUGAAUUUGGUUUCUCUGUUAAGGACCUUCAGACCCGGCGCGUGAUUCUUCGCUGCAAUAGUCACGGGGAACUCUACACCCUUCCAGCUGCCACUCCCUCCAACACCGCGUCCUGCUCCCUCGCCACUUCUUCCACGCUUUGGCACCGUCGUCUCGGUCAGCCUGGUCCAGCCGCCAUCCACAGUCUUCGGAAUAUGUCCUCUAUUUCCUGUAAUAAAAUAGACACCUCUUUAUGUCAUGCGUGUCAGUUAGGCAAACAUACCCGAUUACCUUUCAAUAGGUCUUUGUCUCGCACUUUCGCUCCCUUUGAGCUUGUCCAUUGCGAUGUAUGGACCUCUCCAGUGUUGAGUACUUCGGGUUUUAAAUAUUAUUUAGUGGUGCUUGAUGAUUUCAGUCAUUUCUAUUGGACCUUUCCACUCCGACACAAAUCUGAUGUUCAUCGUCAUCUUGUUGAGUUUGCCGAGUAUGUUUCCACCCAAUUUGGCUUACCACUCAAAACCCUUCAGGCUGAUAAUGGCAGAGAGUUUGUCAAUACCGCCACCACUUCAUUUCUUACUAGUCGUGGCACCCAGCUACGACUCUCUUGCCCUUACACCUCCCCCCAAAAUGGUAAAGCCGAACGGAUGCUCCGCACCAUGAACAACUCCAUACGCACCCUUCUUAUACAGGCCUCUAUGCCUCCGUCCUACUGGGCUGAGGCUCUCGCCACCGCCACCUACCUUCUCAACCGGAGACCCUCCUCCUCUGUUCACCACUCACUACCUUUUCAGCUCCUACAUCACACCACCCCAGACUACUCCCACCUUCGCGUCUUUGGCUGUCUUUGUUACCCAAACUUGAGUGCCACGACUCCACAUAAGCUUGCCCCUCGCUCGACAGCUUGCGUUUUUCUUGGGUACCCGGCCUCCCACAAGGGAUACCGAUGUCUGGAUUUCUCCACUCACCGCAUCAUCAUUUCGCGCCACGUCGUGUUUGACGAAUCACGAUUUCCCUUCGCGGCAACUCCCCCUGCUCCCUCGUCUUUUGAUUUUUUGCUGCAGGGACUCCCUCUAGCGGUCGCUCCCUCAUCAGAGGUUGAGCAACCGCGACCUCUCACGGUGGCUCCCUCCUCGGAGGUUGAGCAACCGCGACGCCUUACGGUGGCUCCCUCCACGGAGGUUGAGCAACCGUACGUUCCCCUCUUCCGCCGACGCUUGCCGAACGACACCGUCCCUGCGGCACGUGACGCCCGAUCAGCUGGCACGCCCUUGGUCAGCGCCUCCUCGAUCGGCGCUGCCCCGUCGGUCAGUGCCACCCGAGCCAGCACCGUGUCACCAUUCCACCAUGUCUACACCCGUCGGCCCACCGUGACGGUCCCGCCAUCAUCUUCACCCAAUGUGGUUGUCACGGCUGCUGCUCCUCAGCCGCAUUCCAUGGUGACGCGCUCCCAGACUGGCUCCUUACGGCCGGUUGACAGGCUGACCUACACGGCUACCCACGCCACCGCUGCUUCUCCUGUUCCGGCCAAUUAUCGCAGUGCGUUGGCUGAUCCCAACUGGCGCACUGCCAUGGCUGAUGAGUACAAGGCGUUGGUUGACAACGGCACUUGGCGUCUCGUUCCUCGCCCCCCUGGGGCCAACAUUGUGACGGGCAAGUGGAUAUUCAAGCAUAAGUUCCACUCUGACGGCACUCUUGCUCGUCACAAGGCCCGUUGGGUGGUCCGUGGUUACUCGCAGCAGCAUGGCAUCGACUACGUCGAGACAUUUAGCCCGGUUGUCAAGCCGGCCACCAUACGGGUUGUUCUCAGCAUCGCUGCAUCCCAUGCUUGGCCAAUUCAUCAACUGGAUGUGAAGAAUGCGUUUCUUCAUGGUCACCUACAGGAGACCGUCUAUUGUCAGCAACCCUCCGGGUUUGUUGACCCCACUGCCCCUGAUGCUGUCUGUCUAUUGCAGAAGUCCCUGUAUGGUCUCAAGCAGGCUCCCCGUGCGUGGUACCAGCGGUUUGCCACGUACAUUCGACAGAUGGGAUUUCUGCCUUCGGCGUCCGAUACAUCUCUCUUUGUUUACAAAGAUGAAGAUCAUAUUGCCUAUCUUCUGUUGUACGUCGACGACAUCAUCCUCACUGCUUCGACCAUGUCACUACUUCAGCAGCUUAUGGCUCGCCUCCGCUCCGAGUUCGCCAUGACAGACCUUGGUGACCUCCACUUCUUCCUCGGCAUCUCUGUGACGCGCUCCUCCGCCGGCCUCUUCCUCUCGCAGCGCCAGUACGCUGUGGAUCUUCUUCACCGGGCUGGCAUGGCCGAGUGACACUCUACAUCGACACCAGUGGACACUCGUGCCAAGCUCUCCGCCACCGACGGCCUGCCCGUUGCCGAUCCUUCAGAGUACAGGAGCAUCGCUGGCGCCCUACAGUACCUCACGUUGACUCGGCCGGAUUUGGCUUACGCCGUUCAGCAGGUCUGCCUCUUCAUGCAUGAUCCGCGGGAGCCUCAUCUUGCCUUGGUCAAGCGUAUCCUCUGGCACGUGAAGGGAAGCCUCUCCACCGGCCUCCACAUCGGCUCCGGCCCGAGUCAGUCCCUCACAGCAUACUCCGAUGCGGAUUGGGCGGGUUGUCCCGAUUCUCAUCGUUCCACGUCCGGUUACUGUGUCUUCCUUGGAGACAAUCUGGUUUCUUGGUCCUCCAAGCGCCAGACUACUGUCUCUCGUUCCAGUGCUGAGGCGGAGUACCGUGCCGUUGCUCAUGCCGUCGCCGAGUGCUGCUGGUUGCGGCAACUGCUACUGGAACUUCAUGUCCCGAUUGCUUCGGCUACUAUUGUCUAUUGUGACAAUGUCAGUGCUGUUUACAUGACAGCGAAUCCCGUGCAUCAUCGACGGACGAAGCAUAUCGAGAUUGACAUCCACUUUGUCCGUGAAAAGGUGGCUUUGGGACAAGUCCGGGUACUUCAUGUCCCUGCAUCGCACCAGUUCACGGACAUCAUGACCAAAGGCUUGCCGGUUCAGUUAUUUACUGAUUUUCGGUCCAGUCUGUGCGUUCGUGCUCCUCCCGCUGCGACUGCGGGCGGGUAUUAGGAUUAUUUAUUAAUCUAUACGCUGUUUAUCUCCUAAACUUUUACACUCCUAGAUAGUUACUCUCCUAGACCUUUGGUCUUAUGUAACUCCCUAGUAUUGAUUGUAACUCAGCACUAGCAUUGAUUGUAAUUCUGUUAUAUAUAUGAGAGUUCACCUCCCCACAUUGGUGAGGCAUCUAUUCCACUUUCUCUACAACAAUAAAAGCAGGGCAAGCACUGUCAAUGCUAACAUUAGAAAAUGCAGACAACUGCUCAGCUAUCAUGAAGGAACCUAGACAUGGAUUCUUUAAGGAUCUGGCAAGAAUGCUACAAGACAACAGGUACAUAUAUGUUGCAGCAAAUGUACUGCAAAACCUCUGCAAGCACUCUAGAGUUGAACUACGGGAUUCAGAUGUGCUGGAACUUUUCAGUGUCCUACCAGAGGUGAGAUCUCCUUGACAGAUUAAAGAAACUAUUUUUUUUAAAAAAAAACAAGAGGGCUGCGGAUUCUGUAUUGAGAACAAAAAUAUCGGUAUCUGAUUCUAAGUUACAUACUGCCGUGUUAUUUCCUCCACAGGUGUUGGGACGAGUAAUGGAUGCAGACGGAAAAGAACUCGAGGUCCUUGUUGGCCUCAGUUCACAAAUAUGCAGUGUAAGUCCUGAAAGCUUUACAAAAGCGUUUAAACAAGGUCAAAAUGAGGAGAUUUUUGUGGAGAAGCUAAUCAAUGCACUAAAUGCAAAUAGCAAACCUAAUGCACAGUUCCCAGGAAUCAGAAGGGUGAUAAUUGAGCAGCUUACAUACAUGAUGGAGCUGAACUCUCGUUAUGCGACAUACUUCAGAAAUCAUGGGUUGAUGGAAGCAUUGAUAAGGGUAGAGAAGACACCGUCAAAGACUGAAAAAUACAGGCUUUUCUUGGGCAAAGCAGGGCUCAUGGAGCACAAAGUGCACCUGUCCUCUCUUGUGGCUAGGGCAAAACUGUUGAUAGCCAUGCAUUCAACUUGACGACAGCCAGGAAGCAUCCAUUUCGAUUUUUGUGCACAUUUCUGCAUCAGAUAACAUAUUGAUGGUACAGAAUCCUAGGGGCUUAUAGCAGCUGAUCAUGUAAUCGUGUUCCAAUCCCAUCUGAAAAUCCAGCCCAAAAUUUAAGCUCUUUAAGCUCAACCGUGCACUCAGGAAAAUUUUGUGGAGUGGCAGAAUACCAAAUCUCAUCCAUUCCCUGUAUUUGUCUUUUCUUGUAUAUCGGUUGUAUAACCUUCCCUUUCAAUCCAAACAUUUCAUAAUCGAUAAAAUGUUUCCUCCUGACAAUGAUCUGAAUACUUGCCGAGCCGGCCGAAGAAAACGCCGACCAAAUUUACUUAAGAUUGAGGGUACGUACAAAUAUACAAGUUUAUGAAAUUUGACAAGAGGCUGUCGAAACAGAAGCGGUGUCGAUAGAAAAGCACCCUCCCCAAAACAAAAGGAGAGAUUAAACCUCGGUUGUUUGAAAACUCCUGCUUCCUUCCAGAUUGUGAUCGUGAAUACUAGCAAUUUGUCUUACCUUCCAGCAAGUUUCGACACAUCUCUACCAACUACAAAACACUACAUUCCUAAACCACGGGUACAACCGAACGGGAUGGAGAUAGUAGGGCUAUAUAUAGCAACAAGAUGGAUUCAGGCAUUUAAUCAAACAGCCGGAGUGCAGCCCCGGCGGGUAGAUCAACCCAUGCUCAGAAAAAGAAAAAAAAUCAAAAUGGAGGAAGCAACUACGGAGGAUUGAAAGAGCGGAUUGCCGGGUACCUUUCACUGUUGGACAUGGAUGGGAGCGGCGCCCGCCGUCGAGCCGGAUCACCCUAGGUGCCUGGUUGGGUUAGGUGGUGCGCCGGAUGAAAAUGCGAGCUUUCUGUUCCAUUUGGUGGAGCUUUUGUAUGCAGGAUUAGGGCCAGGAGUGACAGCAUGUCCUCCUUGACUCUCCUUCUCCUCGCCGCCGCCGCCACCGAGAAGAACUCCUCGCCACAGGCGAUGGUGUAGGACUCGUUCUACUUGUUGGAGGUGUCACUGUUGGUGGUC
rnacentral:lncRNA from 1 species